rfam:Sporisorium reilianum SRZ2 chromosome 13 complete DNA sequence
GGCGCUUUGGCGGAGUGGUUAUCGCGUGGCACUAGAAUCACACUGCAUUCUAGAGCAUCUUCUGCUCAACAAGAAAUAUGCCAUUCCCUCUGGGAGCAUAGGUUCAAAUCCUGUAGGCGUCG